CUCUGAGCCGUGCCUUUGUCACAGAAUCCCUGCGUGACCUGUGAAUUGAUCUUGGUCACCGGGUUAUUCUGCGACCUAGGCUCCUCUCGGA
rnacentral:pre_miRNA from 1 species